rnacentral:lncRNA from 1 species
AUAAAAUAAAAUAAAAUAAAAUAAAAUAAAAUAAAAUAAAAUAAAAUAAAAUAAAAUAAAAUAAAAUAAAAUAAAAUAAUAUCUCCAGAACAUCGCUGGAAUCAUCGCCAUCCAUCCCCAUCCCUCCUCAGCCCUCAGGGGCGUUCCGUGAGAGGAUUAAAUGAAUUAAAUCCUGCAGCCGGCGCGGGGCUGGGUGUGAUGGUGAAUUAUUCAUCCCUCCAAUAACGCGGCUGAUUUAUUAAUGAAAAGGUCAGAGCGCCGCUGGAAGAGGAGAAUUGUUGGGAAAAGCGCUUUGGGAUUGGGAGGAUUCGGGACGGGCUGCGAGGAACAGCGCAGCUCGUCCCCAUCAGCGCGGAGCCGCACGUUCCCGGCUGGAAAAUUGGGAAUAUCGGAGCUGGAGAGAGAGAAAAAGAGGGAGGAGAAAGAGGAGAAAGAGGAGCGGCCUCCGCUGCCUCCUCCCGGCAGGAGAACCUGGGGAGCCGAGCAGACCCAGAGCUUCCACAUCAGCAGGGAAGCGAUGCCGAUCCCCAUCCCGAUGCCGAUCCCUCCCCGCGGCGGGAGCUCCCCAAUCCCCUCGGGAAUUUUGGGAAUCCCGGGAUCAGGAGCGCUUUUCGUUGUGGUUAUUCCGGGGGACUCGCAGAGCUGAGCUCCGGGGUGGGGUUGGUCCCGAUUUGGGCACCCCCUUCCCUUUGCUCGGCUUUCCAGAAGGAGAAAAGCAGCCAGGAUGGCCUUUGCCGGGAAUUUUAGGAAUAUUUCCAGGUUUUCACACCUCGGGGUUGUCACGGGGCUGUGACAGCGCAGGGACAGCAAAGGGAGGGAUCAGGGAAUCCCAAAUCCAGGAUCAGUCUUUCCCACAUUCCCAGCAAAGGGAGGGUUCAGGGCAUCCGAAAAACAGAUUCAGCCCUUCUCUCGUUCCCUGGACAGCAAAGGGAGUUCUCAGAGAAUCCCAAAUCCAAGUUCAGCCCUUCCCUCGCUCCCAGGGAUGUAAAGGGAGCGCUCAGAGCAUCCCAAAUCCAGGUUCUGGCCUUGCCACUUCCUUUGGAUGGCAAAGGGAGCAUUCAGGGAAUCCCAAACCCAGGUUCGGCCCUUCCUUCAUUCCCUGAAUAACAAAG